GAUGAAGAACGCAGCGAAAUGCGAUAAGUAAUGUGAAUUGCAGAAUUCAGUGAACCAUCGAAUCUUUGAACGCACAUUGCGCCCGGCAGUAAUCUGCCGGGCAUGCCUGUCCGAGCGUCAUUUCUCCCCUCGAGCGCAGCUUUCCCCCCCGGGGGAGGGCCGCGCCCGGUGUUGGGGCGCUACGGAGGAGCCCAGCGCUCCCCCGUAGGCCCCGAAAUGAAGUGGCGGUCCUGCCGCGGCGCCCCCUGCGUAGUAUAACAGCUCGCUUCGGGACCCGGUGGAGGCCUGCCGUCAAACCUAUACUCUCUAAGUUUGACCUCGGAUCAGGUAGGGUUACCCGCUGAACUUAAGCAUAUCAAUAAGCGGAGGA
rnacentral:misc_RNA from 1 species